rnacentral:rRNA from 1 species
AUACGUAGGUGGCAAGCGUUGUCCGGAUUUAUUGGGCGUAAAGCGAGCGCAGGCGGUUCUUUAAGUCUGAUGUGAAAGCCCCCGGCUCAACCGGGGAGGGUCAUUGGAAACUGGAGGACUUGAGUGCAGAAGAGGAGAGUGGAAUUCCAUGUGUAGCGGUGAAAUGCGUAGAUAUAUGGAGGAACACCAGUGGCGAAGGCGGCUCUCUGGUCUGUAACUGACGCUGAGGCUCGAAAGCGUGGGGAGCAAACAGGAUUAGAUACCCUGGUAGUCCACGCCGUAAACGAUGAGUGCUAAGUGUUGGAGGGUUUCCGCCCUUCAGUGCUGCAGCUAACGCAUUAAGCACUCCGCCUGGGGAGUACGGCCGCAAGGCUGAAACUCAAAGGAAUUGACGGGG